AUUGAACGCUGGCGGCAGGCUUAACACAUGCAAGUCGAGCGUGAAAGGGCUUCGGCCUGAGUAAAGCGGCGGACGGGUGAGUAACGCGUAGGAAUCUACCUGGUAGUGGGGGAUAACGUUCCGAAAGGAACGCUAAUACCGCAUACGUUCUGAGGAGGAAAGCAGGGGACCGCAAGGCCUCGCGCUAUCAGAUGAGCCUGCGUCCGAUUAGCUAGUUGGUGGGGUAAAGGCCUACCAAGGCGACGAUCGGUAACUGGUCUGAGAGGAUGAUCAGUCACACUGGAACUGAGACACGGUCCAGACUCCUACGGGAGGCAGCAGUGGGGAAUAUUGGACAAUGGGGGCAACCCUGAUCCAGCCAUGCCGCGUGUGUGAAGAAGGCCUUCGGGUUGUAAAGCACUUUAAGCUGGGAGGAAGGCUCCAUGGCUAAUAUCCAUGGGGAUUGACGUUACCAGCAGAAUAAGCACCGGCAAACUUCGUGCCAGCAGCCGCAGUAACAC
rnacentral:rRNA from 1 species